GGAGAAUUACUUCCAUUAUUUACCUUUCUAUACCUAUAAGGCUAUAACUGUUGAUUUAAAAAGAGAAAAAUUAAAAUUCUAAAGGGACCCAGCCUAACCAACGCUAAUAGUAAAUAGGGUUCACGUGUGGCGGGCGUUUUGAUGUCUUAUCGGACCCUCGCUCGCUCGAGACAGCGACGCGAGGCGCACCACAUUCACAGAGAAAAUCUUUAAACACAGAACAUAGUUUUCCGGUUACAUACAUAUAUAUAUAUAUAUAUAUAAAUAUAUUUAUUUAAACCUUUUAAUUUUAUUUUCUCUCUCAUUUAUCCAUUCUGAGGUCGCCGAAAACCGCCAAAUCUCUGCAAUUCAAAGCGGACUCUCUCUGCAAUUCCAAUUAUUACUCUCUCUUCUCGAAGUUUGAUGAUGCAGCUUAAGAAAGUUCAUGAAAACUGCUGCUGAUAGCAAGGUUCAUGGAAUUCGGUAUUUUUCCAUUUCAGUUAGCUUUGUGGAAAACUUAUUAUAAAUUUGAGAAUCUUUAUUACUUGACAAGGGUAAAACUCUCAGUUGAUCUGGUGAAUCUAAGCUUCUGACGUUCAAAGAGGGAAUUAUACAACUUACUCUGCAAAGGAUCUCUAUAAGUGCUUCUAUUGUUGGUUCAAAUAUUGUCAAAUGUCAGAAGUUGAUAUGGCAGUCAUUAAACCUGAGAUGAUGAAGUCCUACAUCUGGCUCCAGACAGCUGAUGGUUCAAUCCAACAAGUGGAACAAGAGGUUGCCAUGUUUUGUCCCAUGAUAUGUCAUGAAGUAAUACAAAAGGGCAUGGGAUCAUCCAAGAGCUAUGCAAUAUCUGUUCCGCAACGAGUCAAUCCUGCCUCAUUGAGCUUGAUUCUUGAUUAUUGCAGGUUUCAUCAAGUGCCAGGCCGUUCUAACAAGGAGCGCAAGUCUUUUGAUGAAAAGUUCAUUCGAAUGGAUACAAAGAGGCUAUGUGAGUUGACAUCUGCUGCUGACAGCCUCCAAUUGAAGCCUUUGGUUGAUCUUACUAGUCGUGCACUUGCACGAAUUAUUGAAGGGAGAAGUCCCGAAGAGAUACGUGAGAUAUUUCAUUUGCCUGAUGAUCUUACUGAGGAAGAGAAAUUGGAGCCUUUGAAAAAUACAACUGAUGAUCCACGGAUUCGACUUCUAAACCGUCUAUAUGCAAAGAAGAGGAAAGAACUGAAGGAAAAGGAGAAAUUAAAGAUUGUUGAGGUUGAAGAAGACCGUGUGGAUGACCGUUCAGUUGAUGACCUUUUGUCCUUUAUAAAUGGAGGAGAAGGAGAUUCUAAAGGGGUUAGAACUUCCAAGAAUAAGAAGAAGCAUCGAAGAAAAAAAGAUCAACAGAAGAGUGCCUCUGCUAAUGAAACCAUUAAAACCCAUAAGCAGGAGUCAAACGGGCUUAAUUCUUUAUGCCCUUGUGCUGAGGCUGGGAACGAGUUUAGGCCUGAUCAAGGAGAGACAUCAAAUAUGCAAGAUGUUGAGGAUGAUAUUUUUGCUCGGAAGUCUGAGUUUGAUGACGGUGAUGUAGAUGACGAGAUUGAUCCAGCAUUGAAGGAAAAAAUAGAUAGGGAGGUGGAGGAUUUUGCCCGGAGACUGAAUUCUGACUGGCCUGAAAGGAUGCAAGAGAUUCUAUCUUUGGGUCAAGAAAUAAGGCCACUACAUUAUUCUGUUAAUGGCAAUGGUAGAAGAAAUGCAAAUCGGGAGCAGAAAUGAUAUUACCCCAGAUUGGCCGCAUGGCUGGAACAAUUUUGAUCAGAUGCUUAUGCAGGUGGUUUAGUGGCGUCUAAGGAGUUGGUUUUGUCAUUAAUGUUUACAUACUGCUGAUGGAAACAAUGGAUCCUUGAGGAUUAUUUAAAUCACGGGGCUGCUUUGUCAGUGCAAUGGCGGAACUUUUUACCUGCUGUUCACAGUAUUUUCUGGCUUUCCUAUGAUGUGGCCAAAUUUACUAAGACGGCAAGAGGAAAGACGUAGAAGUCUGUGAGUCUUAAUUGGUGUUUCCCAACUUUAGUUACUUUUUGAGCUAUAUUGAGAGUGAUAAUUUAAUUGUAUCGAAAGGUGUCUGACAGAACAUUGUUUUUUCUUAAAUCUUGUGUCUGGAAUAUACGGACAAUGAAGAUUCUUCAUCAAAAUUGAGAUGAUAU